rnacentral:rRNA from 1 species
AUUGAACGCUGGCGGCAGGCCUAACACAUGCAAGUCGAACGGUAACAGGAAGAAGCUUGCUUCUUUGCUGACGAGUGGCGGCCGGGUGAGUAAUGUCUGGGAAACUGCCUGAUGGAGGGGGAUAACUACUGGAAACGGUAGCUAAUACCGCAUAACGUCGCAAGACCAAAGAGGGGGACCUUCGUGCCUCUUGCCAUCGGAUGUGCCCAGAUGGGAUUAGCUAGUAGGUGGGGUAACGGCUCACCUAGGCGACGAUCCCUAGCUGGUCUGAGAGGAUGACCAGCCACACUGGAACUGAGACACGGUCCAGACUCCUACGGGAGGCAGCAGUGGGGAAUAUUGCACAAUGGGCGCAAGCCUGAUGCAGCCAUGCCGCGUGUAUGAAGAAGGCCUUCGGGUUGUAAAGUACUUUCAGCGGGGAGGAAGGGAGUAAAGUUAAUACCUUUGCUCAUUGACGUUACCCGCAGAAGAAGCACCGGCUAACUCCGUG